GACACCACUCUCGUUGGUCUGGCACAGUGAGAGAGACGCGUGUUGGCUGGGCUUUUCGAGGUCGCUCAGUCACGUGGGCGAGGCGGCGGACCAAUGGCGGGGCUGCUUUGUGGUCACGUGAUGCGUGACGUCACCAGGAAGCACUGUAGGUAAUGCAUCUUUAUUUAGUGUGUGUUAAUAACAAUAACAACACUGUAAUAACAAUAACUAUAACAAUAACAACACUGCUGUGGGGACAUUUAUAGAGGAUGGAGGUGUGAGGACAAGACAGAGACAGGGAGAUGAGGGAGUUUGGUGAGCGGUGUGGCCAAACGCUCUUGAGGGGAAGUGAAUCAGCUGUGACCGUGGCGGUGAGACAAGCCGGGGUGGACACCAGGAUGAACGGGCACCGUGCCGGCCUGAGACACCACCGCGUAUCCAGCGCCUUGGUGGGACACGUGGACACAGAGCGCCUUCCGGCUAGUGACCACCCAGUAACGUGUUCUGGGUGGGACAGCAACAAUUGCAUAAUAAUGUGGACUUUAACCUUCCAGUCAUGAGGUGGGGCGAGCCAUCGACUGCUCACGCAGGCCAGCAGAUAUUUUUCUUUUUUAUGCACGAAGGGAACUAGCCAAGGACAACAAGCAAUAUAAAAAAGGCCCACUGGAUUGCCAGCCCCUUUAAAGUAAAUAAAAGUUAUCCAAAAGU